rnacentral:rRNA from 1 species
UACGUAGGGCGCAAGCGUUGUCCGGAAUUAUUGGGCGUAAAGAGCUCGUAGGCGGCCUGUUGCGUCCGCUGUGAAAUCCCGGGGCUCAACCCCGGGCCUGCAGUGGAUACGGGCUGGCUAGAGGCAGGCAGGGGAGAACGGAAUCCCUGGUGUAGCGGUGAAAUGCGCAGAUAUCAGGAGGAACACCGGUGGUGUAAACGGCUCUCUGGACCGUAACUGACGCUGAGACACGAAAGCCAGGGGAGCAAACGGG